AGACACGGCCCAGACUCCUACGGGAGGCAGCAGUGGGGAAUAUUGGACAAUGGGCGAAAGCCUGAUCCAGCAACGCCGCGUGAGGGAUGGCGGCCUUCGGGUUGUAAACCUCUUUCAGCAGGGACGAAGCGAAAGUGACGGUACCUGCAGAAGAAGCACCGGCCAACUACGUGCCAGCAGCCGCGGUAAUACGUAGGGUGCGAGCGUUGUCCGGAAUUAUUGGGCGUAAAGGGCUCGUAGGCGGUUGGUCACGUCGGGAGUGAAAACUCGGAGCUUAACUCCGAGCCUGCUUCCGAUACGGGCCGACUAGAGGUAUGCAGGGGAGAACGGAAUUCCUGGUGUAGCGGUGAAAUGCGCAGAUAUCAGGAGGAACACCGGUGGCGAAGGCGGUUCUCUGGGCAUUACCUGACGAUGAGGAGCGAAAGUGUGGGGAGCGAACAGGAUUAGAUACCCUGGUAGUCCACACCGUAAAC
rnacentral:rRNA from 1 species